GGUCAUGAGCGCCAGCGUUCAAGCCCCGGCUUGCUGGCCGGCAACCCUCCAACCGCGGUGGGGUGCCCCGGGUGAUGACCAGGUUGAGUAGCCGCAGCCGGCUACGCGGCAAGCGCGGGUC
rnacentral:ncRNA from 1 species